rnacentral:rRNA from 1 species
UUAAAAAGCUCGUAGUUGAAUCUGUGUGUCACGAUGUUGGUUCACCGCUCGCGGUGUUUAACUAGCAUGCCGUGAGACGUCCUACCGGUGGGCUUAGCCCUUCGGGGCGGUCCAACUAGAAUCCCAUCGCGGUGCUCUUCAUUGAGUGUCGAGGU